GACGAACGCUGGCGGCGUGCUUAACACAUGCAAGUCGAACGGAAAGGCCCUGCUUUUGUGGGGUGCUCGAGUGGCGAACGGGUGAGUAACACGUGAGUAACCUGCCCUUGACUUUGGGAUAACUUUAGGAAACUGGGGCUAAUACCGGAUAGGAGCUCUUGCUGCAUGGCGGGGGUUGGAAAGUUUCGGCGGUUGGGGAUGGACCCGCGGCCUAUCAGCUGGUUGGUGGGGUAGUGGCUUACCAAGGCUUUGACGGGUAGCCGGCCUGAGAGGGUGACCGGCGACAUUGGGACUGAGGUACGGCCCAGACUCCUACGGGAGGCAGCAGUGGGGAAUAUUGCACAAUGAGCGAAAGCCUGAUGCAGCAACGCCGCGUGCGGAAUGACGGCCUUCGGGUUAUAGGCCGAAUUCGCCUGUGACGAAGCGUGAGUGACGGUAAUGGGUAAAGAAGCACCAGCUAACUACGUG
rnacentral:rRNA from 1 species